CGUCUAUAUACGUAUAGCAUAUCAAUAAGCGGAGGAAAAGAAACUAACUAGGAUUCCCUCAGUAACGGCGAGUGAAGCGGGAAGAGCUCAAAUUUGAAAUCUUCAAGGUUCUACCUUGACGAAUUGUAGUUUAAAGAAGUGUUUUCUGUUGGAGUUUUGGUAAAAGUUCUUUGGAAUAGGACAUCAUAGAGGGUGAGAAUCCCGUAUUUGACCAUUAUUUCCAACUUUGUGAUACACUUUCAAAGAGUCGGAUUGUUUGGGAAUGCAGUCCAAAAUGGGUGGUAAAUUUCAUCUAAAGCUAAAUACUGGCGAGAGACCGAUAGCGAACAAGUACCGUGAGGGAAAGAUGAAAAGAACUUUGAAAAGAGAGUUAAACAGUACGUGAAAUUGUCAAAAGGGAAGCGUUUGACACCAGUGUUGUUUUCUCGAAAAUCAAUUAAAAAUGGCGGGAUUUUGUGUUGUAUUGACUUUAUCAGCUUUCUGCACUUUUUUCCUGUCUUUUUUAAUGCACUUUUCGUUUAACAAGUCAACAUCAAUUUCUUUUGUUGUAAAAGGGUCAUUGGAAGGUGGCUUUCUUUUCGGAGAAAGUGUUUAUAGCCUUUGACUUCUGCAAUCGGAGAGAUUGAGGUCUGCAGCGUAGAUCCUUCGGGGUUAGAUACAUUUGUGCUAAGUUAUAGCCUUUCAUAGACAACUUGUUGACUAUGAUCAGUCAUGUAGCUUACUCGCUUAUGUCAUUUUACCUACGCUUAGGAUGUUGACGAUCAGCUGAGCGCG
rnacentral:rRNA from 1 species